UCCUCGGAGAGGUAAGAGCAAGCACCGUGAACUUUGAGGUAACAGGCUCCACUUCUAAAUAAAGAGCUGCAGACGGGGCUUUUGGAACGAGAGAGCGUGACCUCGCAGGAUGAAGGGGUCCCGCCACGGUGACCAGGCCGACCCUGUUCUGAGGGAGCCACCGGAGGACAUGCUGCCUCACGGCAUGGGACACACCACGAAGGCGGAGACGUGGGUCCAGGGCCAGGGUUCCAUCCAGAAAGGAGCCGGGAGGAUUCCGGGCAGGGCGGAAGAGCCCAGGCCCUGCUACAAUCCUGG